UUAAGUAAGUAGAUGUUGACCCAAUGAUUAAUUUGAAUGGUCAGCAAUACCAUUAAGUAAGCAAGUGACACCCUAGUAGAUCGGGUUGUACUGUUUUUGUUUAUCAUUCAUAUGGGGACACCCUAGUAAGCAAGUGUGGCUUCCUUAGUUACCUAUUCUUCAUAGCUGACCGUUGUUCUUUUGUCAUGUGAUUUUCAGGUAAUGGAAAUGCAAAUAGGAGUGGUAGUGGCAACCAUGAUGCAAAUGCAAAUGAUUCCCAAAAAUCUUGGAAAGGAAUUAAAGAUAAUAACUUGUAUGAUCCUUGGAACCAUGCAUGGCCGUAUUAUGGGGGUUUUGAUUGUGUGUACUGCAGCCUAAAGCACAAAGGUGGAGGUGCAACCCGUGUUGCGGAGCACCUUGGUGGUAUUGUAGGUAAUGUGAGGAGCUGCCCCAAUGUGCCAAGAAAUGUGAGAGAUGCAAUGAGAGAGUGCCGGGAUGAAUCAAAGAGGAAGAAAAGAGACAAACAAAAUAGCAGGCUGAGAAUUGAAAGAAAUAUUAUGGAAGGGUUGUAU